GUUUUUGAGUCGUACUAGGCUAGCCUGCUUUAACAUUUGAUAUUAGUUUUCUUCAUACAGAUGAUGCGAUUCCAACGAUUCCCCUUUCCGGUUAUGCAAUCAGUGAAUAAUUUUUAUUUUCUCAACUUGACGAUCUCAGUUGAACAAAAAGGCAUGAUUCACGUGAUCAAUGCAUGGUAAAGUCGCGGACUUUUGCGGUGUAAAUCGUUCAAAUUUCAACAACGGCCUCUUGAGGUGCAACAAAAAGUGUGUGACACUUAUUAAAAAUGGGUGGAUCAAAAUGAAUGAACGUUGAAAAUGCGGAAAAAAGUAAUUCGGAGCGAUUCGCAAAUUUCAUUUGGCAUUGGGGGCACUGGCAUCUGGAUAGUGUUUCUGGUAGGCUCGGGCAAUGUCUGGAUCAAGCAGAUGGACACCAUCGAGUUGAUUUCCCAGGGUAAUCCUAAAUAUCAUGUAACAAUGUCAUUUACUUGCACGUGAUAAAAUUCUCAUUUCCUUACUAG